GAGGGUAUAGCUCAGUGGUAGAGUGUGAGCUUAGCAUGCGCAAGGUCCUUGGUUCAAUCCCCAGGACCUCUG
rfam:Camelus ferus unplaced genomic scaffold scaffold632, whole genome shotgun sequence.